rnacentral:rRNA from 1 species
AAUAUUUGACAAUGGGGGGAACCCUGAUGCAGCCAUGCCGCGUGUGUGAAGAAGGUCNNNGGAUUNUCAAGCACUUUAAGUUGNGAGNAAGAGUUGUAGGCUAAUACCUUGCAAUUUUGACGUUACCAACAGAAUAAGCACCGUCUAACUUCGUGCCAGCAGCCGCGGUAAUACGAAGGGUGCAAGCGUUAAUCGGAAUUACUGGGCGUAAAGCGCGCGUAGGUGGUUUGAUAAGUUGGAUGUGAAAGCCCCGGGCUCAACCUGGGAAUUGCAUCCAAAACUGUCUGACUAGAGUAUGGCAGAGGGUGGUGGAAUUUCCUGUGUAGCGGUGAAAUGCGUAGAUAUAGGAAGGAACACCAGUGGCGAAGGCGACCACCUGGGCUAAUACUGACACUGAGGUGCGAAAGCGUGGGGAGCAAACAGG